rnacentral:rRNA from 1 species
AGCGAACGCUGGCGGCAGGCCUAACACAUGCAAGUCGAGCGGCCGUAGCAAUACGGCAGCGGCAGACGGGAUAGUAACACGUGGGAACGCGCCCUUCGGUUCGGAAUAACUCAGGGAAACUUGAGCUAAUACCGGAUACGCCCUUACGGGGAAAGAUUUAUUGCCGAAGGAACGGCCCGCGUCGGAUUAGCUAGUUGGUGAGGUAAUGGCUCACCAAGGCGACGAUCCGUAGCUGGUCNGAGAGGAUGACCAGCAUCACUGGGACUGAGACACGGCCCAGACUCCUACGGGAGGCAGCAGGUGGGGAAUAUUGGACAAUGGGCGCAAGCCUGAUCCAGCCAUGCCGCGUGAGUGAUG